rnacentral:rRNA from 1 species
ACGAACGCUGGCGGCGUGCUUAACACAUGCACGUCGAACGAAGAGCGAUGGAAGCUUGCUUCUAUCAAUCUUAGUGGCGAACGGGUGAGUAACGCGUAAUCAACCUGCCCUUCAGAGGGGGACAACAGUUGGAAACGACUGCUAAUACCGCAUACGAUCUAAUCUCGGCAUCGAGGAUAGAUGAAAGGUGGCCUCUACAUGUAAGCUAUCACUGAAGGAGGGGAUUGCGUCUGAUUAGCUAGUUGGAGGGGUAACGGCCCACCAAGGCGAUGAUCAGUAGCCGGUCUGAGAGGAUGAACGGCCACAUUGGGACUGAGACACGGCCCAGACUCCUACGGGAGGCAGCAGGGGGGAAUCUUCCGCAAUGGACGAAAGUCUGACGGAGCAACGCCGCGUGAGUGAUGACGGCCUUCGGGUUGUAAAGCUCUGUUAAUCGGGACGAAAGGCCUUCUUGCGAAUAGUGAGAAGGAUUGACGGUACCGGAAUAGAAAGCCACGGCUAACUACGUG